rnacentral:pre_miRNA from 1 species
AAUAAAUCAAUCUUUCAAUUUUUAUUUAUAAUAUUUGACUUUUCGUUUUAUUUGAAAAUAUUUUAUGAUUAAUAUUUUUAUUUUUAUUAGAUGAUAAAUUAAGAAUAGUAUUUUACGUGUAACUAUUUUUUAAAAAAAAUUAAAAUUUUUUCAAAUAAAACAGAUAGUCAAACGCUACACGCAAACCUAAAGCUUGUCUUGUC